UACGGAGGGUGCAAACGUUGCUCGGAAUCAUUGGGCGUAAAGCGCACGUAGGCGGCCUGUUAAGUCGGAUGUGAAAGCCCCGGGCUCAACCCGGGAAGUGCAUUCGAAACUGGCGGGCUUGAAUAUGGAAGAGGGUCGCGGAAUUCCCGGUGUAGAGGUGAAAUUCGUAGAUAUCGGGAGGAACACCAGUGGCGAAGGCGGAGACCUGGGCCAAUACUGACGCUGAGGUGCGAAAGCGUGGGGAGCAAACAGG
rnacentral:rRNA from 1 species